rnacentral:rRNA from 1 species
UACGGGAGGCAGCGGGGGGGAAUAUUGCACAAUGGGCGCAAGCCUGAUGCAGCCAUGCCGCGUGUAUGAAGAAGGCCUUCGGGUUGUAAAGUACUUUCAGUCGUGAGGAAGGUGUUAAGGUUAAUAACCUUAGCAAUUGACGUUAGCGACAGAAGAAGCACCGGCUAACUCCGUGCCAGCAGCCGCGGUAAUACGGAGGGUGCGAGCGUUAAUCGGAAUUACUGGGCGUAAAGGGCACGCAGGCGGUUAAUUAAGUUGGAUGUGAAAUCCCCGGGCUUAACCUGGGAAUGGCAUUCAAGACUGGUUAGCUAGAGUCUUGUAGAGGGGGUUAGAAUUCCAUGUGUAGCGGUGAAAUGCGUAGAGAUGUGAGGAAUACCGGUGGCGAAGGCGGCCCCUGGACAAAGACUGACGCUCAUGUGCGAAAGCGUGGGGAGCAAACAGGGAUUAGAUACCCGU